GGCCUACGGGAGGCAGCAGUGAGGAAUAUUGCGCAAUGGGGGCAACCCUGACGCAGCAACGCCGCGUGAGUGAGGAAGGUUUUCGGACCGUAAAGCUCUGUCGAGCGGGAAGAAAUGCAUGGUGGCUAAUAUCCAUCAUGCUUGACGGUACCGCUAAAGGAAGCACCGGCUAACUCCGUGCCAGCAGCCGCGGUAAUACGGGGGGUGCUAGCGUUGUUCGGAAUUAUUGGGCGUAAAGAGCGUGUAGGCGGCUGGAUAAGUCAGAUGUGAAAGCCCUGGGCUUAACCCAGGAAGUGCAUUUGAAACUGUUCAGCUGGAGUAAGGGAGAGGAAAGUGGAAUUCCUGGUGUAGAGGUGAAAUUCGUAGAUAUCAGGAGGAACACCGGUGGCGAAGGCGACUUUCUGGCCCUAUACUGACGCUGAGACGCGAGAGCGUGGGUAGCAAACAGGAUUAGAUACCCUGGUAGUC
rnacentral:rRNA from 1 species